CCGGUGGCGGCUGGGCAUGCGGCGCAUUAGCUUGACGGCGGGGUAACGGCCCACCGUGGCGACGAUGCGUAGGGGUUCUGAGAGGAAGGCCCCCCACACUGGAACUGAGACACGGUCCAGACUCCUACGGGAGGCAGCAGUGAGGAAUAUUGGUCAAUGGGCGGAAGCCUGAACCAGCCAAGUCGCGUGAGGGAAUAAGGCCCUACGGGUCGUAAACCUCUUUUGCCGGGGAGCAAGGGCCGGGACGCGUCCCGGCCCGGAGAGUACCCGGAGAAAAAGCAUCGGCUAACUCCGUGCCAGCAGCCGCGGUAAUACGGAGGAUGCGAGCGUUAUCCGGAUUUAUUGGGUUUAAAGGGUGCGUAGGCGGGCUUUUAAGUCAGCGGUAAAAAUUCGGGGCUCAACCCCGUCCGGCCGUUGAAACUGGGGGCCUUGAGUGGGCGAGAAGAAGGCGGAAUGCGUGGUGUAGCGGUGAAAUGCAUAGAUAUCACGCAGAACCCCGAUUGCGAAGGCAGCCUUCCGGCGCCCUACUGACGCUGAGGCACGAAAGUGCGGGGAUCGAACAGGAUUAGAUACCCUGGUAGUCCGCACAG
rnacentral:rRNA from 1 species